GAAAAAGUAAGGUGGGCCGAAAGGCCGGUGCUGGGCCGCAGAAAAAGGAAGAAAAAAAGAAAAUCGGCCCGCGGGGCCCGUCGGGGGGAAGAAAAGGCCGGCGGGUAGAUUGAAUAGGGAAAGGUGGGGUCCGCGCCGUGGGGCCCAGCGUGCGUGAGAGAGGGUAGAGAGUGGGUGAGUAAGAAAAGUUUUCCGGGCGAUUUUCGGGAAAAAUUAGAUUUCCUUUAGCAAUUUAGUUCGUUUAAAUUUGUUUUACACUAUUUUAAUCACAGAAAUUUGUAGGAGUGUCCAAAAUUAGUGAAACCAAUUUUGUUAGGCUUGUUUUAUUUUCCUUUAUGCAUUAAAAUUUUUACACCCUAGGAAAAUAAUAAAAAUUUGGGUAUUUAUUUAAUGCCUUCCUUUUAAGGUAAUUAAAUAAAUACUUAAUAUUUAUAAAAUGUAUAAAAUAUGAAUAACGCUUUAUCAAUCACAAAUAAUUCUUAACCCAUAGGAGAUUAGAUUUUUAAGUUAGAAAAUAAUUACCACUUUUUCUAAAAUUAAAAUAAAAAGCUAUAGGGAGGGUUAAAUAAGAAAAAUAAAAAGUAUAGGUUAAUCUUUUUAGAUUCUUGUGUGUUGGCUUGCAACUUUAUCAUGAUAAGUUGUAUAGUCCUUGUUGGCUUGCAACGUUAUCAUGAAGGAAAGUUGUAUAGUCUGUUAUUCAAAAAGUUUGCAUUCUAACCCCA
rnacentral:lncRNA from 1 species